AGAGUUUGAUCCUGGCUCAGGAUGAACGCUGGCGGCGUGCCUAAUACAUGCAAGUCGAGCGAACGGACGAGAAGCUUGCUUCUCUGAUGUUAGCGGCGGACGGGUGAGUAACACGUGGAUAACCUACCUAUAAGACUGGGAUAACUUCGGGAAACCGGAGCUAAUACCGGAUAAUAUUUUGAACCGCAUGGUUCAAAAGUGAAAGACGGUCUUGCUGUCACUUAUAGAUGGAUCCGCGCUGCAUUAGCUAGUUGGUAAGGUAACGGCUUACCAAGGCAACGAUGCAUAGCCGACCUGAGAGGGUGAUCGGCCACACUGGAACUGAGACACGGUCCAGACUCCUACGGGAGGCAGCAGUAGGGAAUCUUCCGCAAUGGGCGAAAGCCUGACGGAGCAACGCCGCGUGAGUGAUGAAGGUCUUCGGAUCGUAAAACUCUGUUAUUAGGGAAGAACAUAUGUGUAAGUAACUGUGCACAUCUUGACGGUACCUAAUCAGAAAGCCACGGCUAACUACGUGCCAGCAGCCGCGGUAAUACGUAGGUGGCAAGCGUUAUCCGGAAUUAUUGGGCGUAAAGCGCGCGUAGGCGGUUUUUUAAGUCUGAUGUGAAAGCCCACGGCUCAACCGUGGAGGGUCAUUGGAAACUGGAAAACUUGAGUGCAGAAGAGGAAAGUGGAAUUCCAUGUGUAGCGGUGAAAUGCGCAGAGAUAUGGAGGAACACCAGUGGCGAAGGCGACUUUCUGGUCUGUAACUGACGCUGAUGUGCGAAAGCGUGGGGAUCAAACAGGAUUAGAUACCCUGGUAGUCCACGCCGUAAACGAUGAGUGCUAAGUGUUAGGGGGUUUCCGCCCCUUAGUGCUGCAGCUAACGCAUUAAGCACUCCGCCUGGGGAGUACGACCGCAAGGUUGAAACUCAAAGGAAUUGACGGGGACCCGCACAAGCGGUGGAGCAUGUGGUUUAAUUCGAAGCAACGCGAAGAACCUUACCAAAUCUUGACAUCCUUUGACAACUCUAGAGAUAGAUCCUUCCCCUUCGGGGGACAAAGUGACAGGUGGUGCAUGGUUGUCGUCAGCUCGUGUCGUGAGAUGUUGGGUUAAGUCCCGCAACGAGCGCAACCCUUAAGCU
rnacentral:rRNA from 1 species